rnacentral:rRNA from 1 species
CCGGCUAAAAGUCGGAGGAAGUGGGGAUGACGUCAAAUCAUCAUGCCCCUUAUGACCUGGGCUACACACGUGCUACAAUGGGCGGUACAAAGGGUCGCGAACCCGCAGGGGGAGCCAAUCCCAAAAAAGCCGCUCUCAGUUCGGAUUGCAGGCUGCAACUCGCCUGCAUGAAGCCGGAAUCGCUAGUAAUCGCGGAUCAGCAUGCCGCGGUGAAUACGUUCCCGGGCCUU